UACGGGGGGAGCAAGCGUUGUUCGGAAUUACUGGGCGUAAAGCGUGCGCAGGCGGUUCGUUAAGUUCGAGGUGAAAGCCCCGGGCUCAACCUGGGAACUGCAUUGGAAACUGGCGAGCUUGAGUAUGGCAGAGGGGGGUGGAAUUCCGCGUGUAGCAGUGAAAUGCGUAGAGAUGCGGAGGAACACCGAUGGCGAAGGCAGCCCCCUGGGCCAAUACUGACGCUCAGGCACGAAAGCGUGGGGAGCAAACAGG
rnacentral:rRNA from 1 species